AAGAGUUUGAUCAUGGCUCAGGACGAACGCUGGCGGCGUGCCUAACACAUGCAAGUCGAGCGGGGUCCAUCCAGUGGCAACACUGGGGAAGACCUAGCGGCGAACGGGUGAGUAACACGUGAGAAACCUGCCCUGAAGUCUGGGAUAACCCGAGGAAACUCGAGCUAAUACCGGAUGCCCCCACCGAGUCGCAUGGCUUGGUGAGGAAAGAUUCAUCGCUUCAGGAGGGUCUCGCGGCCUAUCAGCUAGUUGCGGGGUAACGGCCCACCAAGGCAUCGACGGGUAGCUGGUCUGAGAGGACGAUCAGCCACACUGGGACUGAGACACGGCCCAGACUCCUACGGGAGGCAGCAGUGGGGAAUAUUGCGCAAUGGGCGAAAGCCUGACGCAGCAACGCCGCGUGCGGGAUGACGGCCUUCGGGUUGUAAACCGCUUUCAGUGGGGACGAAAACAGACGGUACCCACAGAAGAAGCCCCGGCCAACUACGUG
rnacentral:rRNA from 1 species